rnacentral:misc_RNA from 1 species
AAGUCGUAACAAGGUCUUCGUAGGUGAACCUGCGGAGGGAUCAUUAAUAAUUUAUGGGGCUUACUACUUGUGCAAACGAGUGACCCACUUAUUACCACACACACUUGUGAACCUUUCCUUUCUUUGACUUUACUGUCAAAGGAUUGAAAACUCUUGUGAUUUAAAACAGUCUAGGAUGUCAAUCCAAUUAUAAAAAUUAAAACAACUAUAAACGGUGGAUCUCUUGGCUCUC